rnacentral:rRNA from 1 species
UGGGAUGACGUCAAUCAUCAUGCCCUUAUGUCUUGGGCUUCACGCAUGCUACAAUGGCCGGUACAAAGGGCUGCGAUACCGCGAGGUGGAGCGAAUCCCAGAAAGCCGGUCUCAGUUCGGAUUGGGGUCUGCAACUCGACCCCAUGAAGUCGGAGUCGCUAGUAAUCGCAGAUCAGCAACGCUGCGGUGAAUACGUUCCCGGGCCUU